GAUGGCCAUAUUGCAUUGAAAUAUUGGUUCCCAUAUAAUCACUGAAGUUAAGCAACAUCUAGCCUAGUGAGUACCUAGAUUGGUGACCACUUGGGAAAACCAGAUGCUGUAAG